rnacentral:lncRNA from 1 species
GUGAUCAAAGAGAUCAGGGUCUCAGCCAGAUUCCUGACUGGGACCCCUCACAGGCUUAUUCCUGUAAACAAACCUAUUUGGUUGUUGAGUUGCUUUCUCUCCCUCACUCUCUUCCUUUAUAUUUUUCUAACAUUUGGUGCCAAAACCCAGAAUGGGGUCUGGGUUUCAUAGCGGAGAGGUUGUCUCUCACGGCUUCGUGUUCCCAGCCCCAUCUACCAUCCUUCUUCCCACCUUCACAUUCCACUCUCCUUCUUUUUCUUCUCCCCUCCCUACCCCUUUCUUUACUUGGCAACUCCAGCGAAAGGCCACCGCCAACUGAUGACCAGACAUCGCUUCGAACUGGUGCACGGAGCAAGUUAUUGGUGGAUCUACUAUUCUGGAGUCUGGAGAACGAUGGCCCUCUUCUCACAGCUCCAAUAGGCAGUGACUCAGUGGGACCCUGUGUGGGGGUCUAGCACCACAUUUCCUUUCUGUACUGCCUGAGCAGAAGUUCUCCAUGGGGGCUCCACUCCUGCAGCAAACUUCUGACUGGACAUCUAUGAAUUUCUAUACAUCCUCUGAAAUCAAGGACAUGAGACUUCACAACCUGCUAAAAGUGAGCUUUUGGGACCUACUCAUCUAGGAAAAAAACAUCCUAGCCAUGAGAGAUCAGAUGAAACCUGAGACCAGAGACUAAUUUUCUUGCAAAAUGCUUUCUCCAGAGAAAUUUAAAAUACAAAAGGGGGAAAUGUAAAAGGACAAUAUCUUGGGACCCCAAAAUCACUAAGCUAAAAGGAAAACUCAAACUGGAAACUGCUUAGGGCAAAUCUGACUCCCAUUCUGUUCAAAUUUAUCCCUCUGCUCACCGAGAUAAAUGGAUAUCUGAUAGCCUUUCUUGGAAAGGCUAAUCAGAAACUCAAAGGAAUGUAGCCAUUUGUCUCUCACGUAUCUGUGACCCGCUUUGAGUCUUCCUGCCUUUGCUUUAACCAAGUUGUGACACCACCACCUUGGGCACAUGUCAGCAGGACUUUCUCAGGCUGUAUCAUGGGUGUGUGUCCUCAACCUUGGCGAAAUAAACUUUCUAAAUUAACUGAGACCUAUGUCAGAUUUUCUGAGUUUACAACCUAUACACUGAAAACUUAAAAAAAAAAUAGUAAAAAAUUGUAGACACAAAUAA